GACCGCACGGCCUAAUGGUUAAGACGUCUAACUUCGGAUCAGGAGACUGAGGGUUCGAGUCCCUCUGUGGUCG
rnacentral:tRNA from 1 species